ACAAACAAAACAAAACGAAUAAAAAUAUAGUGUCCAGUUUGAGUUAUACAAUCCAAAAAUAAAAAAUACGAAAAGAUAAAUCCUAUUCUAGAUUAAUCCUAAACUAUGCUCCAAUGUUUUACCCGACGCCGCAGGCCUUCAUCAAGACCAUCUUCCGCCAACAUGAUACGACAGGGCAUUCCCUGUUGAAUAAAUAUAAUGAGCCUCGGGGUAUUCCCCGACUAAAUGAAUAUAUUUGAAUUAAAUGUGAUAAACUAGAAACAAACAUUCACACGGACAUUUAAACAUUCAAAACAUUCAAUAAACACAUCACUCCUAAAUUUUUGCCUACCCGAGCCUAUAUUGCCUAUCCAUUUCAAAAGGUCAUAAAUCUAUCACAUUCAUACUUAUUCCGAAUUAAACAAUAAUAAACAAAAGUUAAUCUACAUUCCACUUUUAUCAAUUUCUCCAUUCCGUCCCAACUUCCCUUUUAACACUAAAUUUUCACAAUUAACGAUUUCUAUUUCAACGAUCCACAGCUACUCUUCAACAAAAUUAAGUAACAAGUCAAUAUCAAAGUAGCAAUUCAUCACCAAUCAAGAUCAAACAACACAUGAGAUUCCAUCUAAUGCACCAUAUUCCAUCAACAAUGAAAUAAAAAGAGGAAAAAGUAGAAAUGGACCUCAAUUGAAGCUUUUAUUAUGCCAAAUUAUGUGACCAAAAGUCGAAACCGCAUCCGAAAACCUCAAUCGAACCCCAAUACGGACUAAUUUCCAACCUCGAUCAACUCUACUAUUUUGCCAACCAGAACCAUAAUCAAAAUUGAGGAAGACCCAGACCCGUUUGCGUUAUUUUUUUGGUCAGAAUCCGCGCUUGAUUUAUCGCGGAAACUCUGGCAUAAUCGGGACGCCGAAAAUGGACCUCUCUUAGUCUCCCUCUGAUUUUUCUCUCUUUUCUACGGUGCCUAUGUAUAUAUGGCUCUCUUCUCUUCUCCGAUCCUCUCUUCUCUCUCGCCGUCUCUCUCGAUUACUCCGAUCACACCCUCAGCUCUCCGUUUUUAGUAUGUGUAGUAUUCCUUCUAUGUAGUCAAUGGAGAAAUUGGGGAGGGUGUGAGGUUGGUUUAAGGGUGAGUAUGAGUGUUAAUCCAUUUAUAUGGCAGUGAGGUGAGUGAUUUAUGUGUAAAUGGACAAAGAAAAAUAAAGUAUCUAUGGUAGUCUGUGUAUCAGUGAGGAUGACAGUGAGAAUUGAGUGUUCAAAAUAGCUAGGAUUUUUUUGUGUAUAUUGCAUGAUCUGUGUGUUUUUCCAUGGAUGAGAGUAUCUGUGAAGUGUGUCAUGGAUGAGAGAGGCCUCCCUCUCUCUCAAGGGAGUGUGCUUGUGUAUAAAAUUCUCUGUGAUGGUGCUGGUACAGAGCAAAAAAAAAUGGCGUGUGGUGUCUAUCUAUAGGUACUGUGUGCAUACAAUUCAAAAAAAUGGAAGUCCCUGGAAUCCUUCUGUGGGGCCCUUUUUUACCCUUUUUUGUUGUGUAUUUGAUUAAAUGGAAUAAAAAAGAAUGUGAGGGGGUGGUGACGUGGUAAGGGUAGCUGGAUAGGUGGUUAGGAUAAAAUUUGUUAGGAUAAGGUUAGGGAUUAUGUUAAGGGCUGUUAUUUUUUGUAUUUUUGUAAGGUGAGCUAAAAUGAAUAAAAUUGGACUUGGGAGAGACAAAAUUAGGUGUCUACAGCAUGCCCCCUUUGAAUGUAAACAUGAAGUGUUUUCAAAGAAGAAGUAGACAACGAGACAAAAUUUUGUCCCGAUCAUUAUUAAAAAAAUAAUGAAACAGAAGGAAUGAGGGAAACCAAGUCUUGACUUUGGACAUCAUACUCAUCCCUAGUUAUGAGGGAAUCAAGUCAUAGGUAUUCCCAAGGACUGAAAGAAGAGGGACUAUACCAAGUUGGAGAGUUGAGCGAGUUUCUGUCGAGGUUCCGGUCCGUGACUCUGUCAUUACUUCAAAAACAAUAAUUUCAAGUUAAAACAUAAAUGAAAUUACAAAAGUCCUAUCUAUGCGGCUUCUUUUGGACUCUUGACUUGAGUUUCAUCACCCCAUUCUUCAGGUGGGCUCCUGACUUGACAUUUCCUCAACUUGUUGCUUGACUUUUAAUUUCAUCACCCUGUUAUUCAGGUGGGCUCUUGACUUGCUAUUUUUCAAUCGUUGACUUUCAAUUUCUUCGCCUUGUUGCUUGACUUUCGACUUCUUCACCUUGUUGUUUUACUUUCAACUUCUUGACUUUCAAUCUCUUAACCAUGUUAUUUGACUUUCAAUUUCAUCACCUUGUUCUUUAAGCGGGCUCCUGACUUUCUAUUUCAUUACCCUAUUCUUCAGGCAGGCUCCAGACUUUCCAUUUCAUCACCUUGUCUUUAGGCGGGCUCCUGACUUUCAAUUUCAUCACCUUUUUCUUCAGGAGGGUCCUAAACAUAAUGUAAAUUUUCAUUUUCUAGGAGGAUCCUGAGCAGAAAGUAAAUUCUCAUUUUUCAGGAGGAUCCUGAACAGAAAGUAAAUUUCCAUUUUUUAGGAAGGUCCUGAACAUAAAGUAAAUUUCCAUUUUCUAGAAGGAUCCUGAACAUAGAGUAAAUUCCCAUUUUCUAGAAGGGUCCUGAACAUAAAGUAAAUUCUCAUUUUCCAAGAGGGUCCUGAGCAGAAAGUAAAUUCUCAUUUUUCAGGAGGGUCCUGAACAGAAAGUAAAUUUCCAUUUUUCAGGAGAGUCCUGAGUAGAAAGUAAACUCUCAUUUUCCAAGAAGGUCCUGAACAGAAAGUAAAAUCUCAUUUUUCAGGAGGGUACUGUACAGAAAGUAAAGUCCCAUUUUUUAAGAGGGUCCUGAACAGAAAGUGAAGUCCUAUUUUCCAGGAGGGUUCUAAAGAGAAAGUAAAAUCCUAUUUUUCAAGAGGGUCCUGAACAGAAAGUAAAAUCACAUUUUUUAGGACGGUCCUGAACAGAAAGUAAAAUCCCAUUUUUUAGGAGGGUCCUAAACAGAAAGUAAAAUCUCAUUUUUCAGGAGGGUCCUGAACAGGAAGUAAAGUCCCAUGGGUGUGCAUUUCCAAUUGUAACUGAAUUAAGUGAAGCAAAGUUGCCCCUGUUUCAACAUAGGAAAUUUUUAGUUAAAAACAUAGUGUUGGCUUGCAGCACUUGAUUGUCCCGACACCGGCUCCAGUGUCUAGUCCCUUCAUUUUGUUUCAGAUUGUUGACACUUGCCCCUGCUUUGUCGAGUCAUUGACCCAAACUCAAAUAAUUAAAGUGAGUCUAAAAUAAACACAGUAUGUCUGUUUUUUCAUGCUUCUCAGAUAAACCCUUUAAACUUUGGUAUUUUCAUGACUUCCCAGAUUUGCCUGUUGACAAAGCUUUCUAUGUGCCUUUUCGUCGGCUCACAAUCAUGUCUCUUACAUGCGCUAGCUUUUCUGUCAUGCUUUGUGCAAUUAAAGAAGUUGGUAACCUGUUUUGAAAUCUUUUCUCACUUGUUUUGACAUAGACUUGACUCCAAGACAAGAGAAAAACGACAGUGAUUUUAUUUGGACAACUGACCCAAGAAAAUAAAAUAAAAAUAAAGAGAAGAAAGAAAAGACAAUAAAUGUCCCCCUUUAAAACAAAGAAAUGAAAAAUUCAUCUAAAAAUGAUAGUCAACUCUAAUAAAUAUGCCAUGUAUUUUGGAUUAAGAAGCUUGGUCUUUUCAUCCAAACUUUCUACCAAUUGUUGUUGAGUUAAUGGCCCCGAAACUGAGUUAUUUCCUUAGGUCAAUUACAUUUAGACCUCAUUCAGCUGGUGGCGCCCAGAAGGGUUUUUGCCAACAAGCCUUUUCCUUUCUCUCAGCUCACUAUUGCCUUUAUGUCUGUAAGGGUUUUUUACCAAUGAGACUAUCUUAUUUUCAUUUGUCUCAACUAACUGUCGUCUUAUAGUUCCCGUGAGGGUUUUCACCGAUAAGACUCUCUCAUUUUUAUCUAUCUCCUGAUUCCUUAUGCUGAGGAAGACAAGUAGUUUCGAAAAUACAUCAUCAUAUCCAUUGCAUGUUUAGCCUUAACAUUCUCAAAGAUUGAUCUGAAGGUCUUUAUUUGGUUGUAACUUGACUUUUGGAUAGGGCUAGAAAGAAAGGUUGUCAUAGGGCCCAAACAAUACUUGAAGUGGGGUGGGACUUACAACUUUUGAAAUCUACUUAAACAAUAAGGAUCAACUCAUGUCCCAGUUUCUUUUGACUUGGCAAUUCUAAAUUGCUUAUUUGGUUGGACCGAGCUCAGAGUAGAGAAGCCUACGUAUCUCACCCCCAAAAGAGGAGUAUCAGAUCAUACGUAGUUCAGACAACUUGUUUUGCUUGAUUCUAAUUUCUUUUUUUUUCUAUGUUUCUUUUAUUGACUCUUUUUCUCUUUGAAACUUUUUGACUCUAUUUUUAUUGACACUCUUCUCUUUAUUCUCUUUUUGGACAUAUUUUCUUCUUUUUUUUCUUCUUUUUUUUAAAAAAUUUUUCUGACUCUAUUUUUUUGCUCGACACAUUUCUUUUGAGCUUUGCUGAUUCUAUCUUGAUUCAACAAGAGGGAUAUGAAAGAAAAUAAUACUAAGGCUCAAAUGGGGUAAACAAAGGAUGACACAAUAUUUGGAUAGCAGAAUGAAAUGCCUUUGUCAUAACAAUUCUUGAAGAUGCUAGUACAUAGCAUGCAAUGUGAAAGUAUACGAUCAAUAUGACUUAUGACAUGUUUUACAACACUAAAUUGCCCCGAGCAUAUGUGUCACCUCUUCUUUUACACUUGUCGAACAUACAACUCCACCUUUGUUGUACAUCCCUCACAUUGAAUGACUCAUGCUUUCAUGGAUUUGAUUUUUGUUAUGAUCCUCGAGAGCACACAUCCGCUAUUUGACCUAAUUGAGCUAUGUUUUUCAAUUGAUGACCAAGUUAUUCUUAUGAUUCUCAAAAUAAUUGCCUUAAUUUUCAAAGAAGGCUUGAACUUGUCACCAAAUGUCUCAGUACUCUACCUAUUUUCUCAGAUGCUUUCUUUUUCUAACUUUAACCUUCUGAUUCAAUGUUCAUGUUUAAACUAAAUUUUAAGAUUUGAUUGAAAAUUCCAUUAGCAUGUCAUAUCACUAGAGUCAACAUAAAAUGUAAAGUGGAAAGAAAAUAAACAAAAACAUAUUUAAAACACAAAGGAAAAAGGGACACUUCAUUUAAUUAAAUUGCAAGAUAGAAGGGUUUGAACAUAACGACAAAUGGAAAAAAUAAGAUAGAUCCCAAACUACAAUCUUGAAAUAAUUCGGAUAACAGAAAAUAAAACAAAACAAACUACCAGACCUCUUCCUAGUAGGGAGAGGGGUGACUUUCCAAUUGCACAACCUGACAUCUUAGCCACUGGUUUGCAUAGCCGUAAGACUAGAGUUAUCCUCACUGUCAAUGUUCCAUACCAUAAUCAAUUUGUCUUGAAUCAUCUUUUCAAUUUCUCUUUUCAAAGCACGACAAUCUUCAAUACUGUAACUCUAAACAUCAGAAUGAUAUGCACAUUGUACAUUAGAUUAAAAUUUUUCAAACGCCGAUUAAGAGUGCACCCAAGGAGAGGAGUGAUCAUGCCCUAUUUUACCAAUCUCUGAAAUAAACUGACAUACGACUCUCCAAUUGGUGUGAAGAUAUCUCUCAACUUCUACCUCAUUUCAUUAUUUGGCUUGGUUUGAAAAUUAGGGUUUGGAGGUUUUGGUAUGUUUGUGGAGUUAGAGGACGACUAUGAGGAGUUGACGUGUUCCACUGUGGGUAAGAUGGGGGUUGAACAUGUGGUUGUCCGUUAUAUACUGGAUAUAGAGGUGGGGGAGCAAAGUAUAAUGGAUUUUGGGAGUGAUUAUGUAGAGCUUGGGCAUGAAAUUGGGUUUGAGCCUGAGAGUGACGAUAACAGGGUCUUCUUGACCGUGCCCGCUGUCCAACUACAAAGAAAAUGCAACUUCCUCAUUCUUUGUCUCCCCAAUACUUCCUGAACCCUUUUGAAUUUCUUGAGUUAUCGCUUUCAAUGUUGCAAAACUAACAAUGCGACCCAUCUUAAUUCCUUCUUCUAUCAUCUCCCCCAUUUUAAGGACCUCAAUAAAUGACUUGCCUAAUGCAGGUAACAAGUGUUGAUAAUAUGUUUCAUCCUGCGCUUGAAUAAACAGCUCCACUAUUUUUCUUUCUUUCAUUGGCGGUUUUAGUCUAGCAGCUUGUUCACGCCAUCUGAUCUCAUACUCCCUGAAGCUCUUAGUAUUCUUCUUCUUCAUACUACUUAGAGAUUUUUCAUCAGGGAUCAACUCCAUAUUGUAUUGAAAUUGUUGUACAAAUUCAUUAGCUAGGCCAUCCCAACUAAUCCACUUGUCGAUGUCUUGGUCUUCAAACUAUUCUUAAGCUAGGCCUGAAAAACUCUCCCCAAAAUAAGCCAUGAUUAGUUAUUCCUUCCCUCCAGCACCCCUUAAUUGGUUACAAUAGCGCCUCAAAUGUGUCAUUGGGUCCCCGUGUCCGUCAUAUUUCUCAAACUUUGGCAUUUUAAAAUCAAAAGGGAGAUGAGCACCCAGAAACAUGCACAGAUCUUUAUAUAAGACACUUUUGUACCCCCAAGUCCUUGGAGAUUCUUCAUAGCCAGUUCCAAGCUUCUCAAUUUUCUGGUCAUUUCCUCUUGUUCUUCUUUCAUAACAGGCUUUUCAGCAUUAAAAGAAAAUUCAGGCGGAUGAGUGUAGCCAUAUAGACCAGUCGACUUAAAUGUGGGCUUGGGAGUAUAAUGCUGAUCACUAGAAAUAUUCAUUAAAGGGUCGCUCAUACAAGGGUGGCACUGCAAAAGCAUGAACAAUAGGUGGAGCUGAGUAUGUGGUAGCGUUGUGUUGAGAAGUGGGAAAAUGAAUAUUGGAAGUGUUUGGAUAGUGUUGCCCCGGAGCAGGUUCUGAUGCAUGUUGUGAUGUGUCAACAAAAAUCAAAAACUGUGUAUGUGACAGUGGAGGCAAGCUAGAAAGAUGUUCCAGAUUAUCAGCGAAAAUGGAGGAGGUGGCAACCCAUUAGCCCAAGCUCGAUGCAUUUCUAUCAUUUGUUGCCUUAAUUUUCGAAUCUUUUCAUUAGCUCCUAAAUUCUCAUUGCCCGAACUCCCUAUCUGAUCAGUGACAACAAACUCAAUAUCCUUGUUGGCCAUAACUUUCUCUGUGAAUUGGUGCAAUAUAGAGGACCAGCCAAAAUUCCACAAACCAACCACCUUAAACUAACUGGACAAGAGAUAGCAAAUGCGUUAGAAUUCAACACUUUUUUUUCAAAACCUUUUUUUUUUCUUUUUGAAAAGGUCACUGAACCCAAGAGGGGCGCCUACGUAUCUCACUCCCGAGAGAGGAGAACCAAGUGUGCGUAAUUCGUGAAGUCUUGCCAAAAUAUCCAAUUAAUUCUUUUUCCUUUCUUUUUUCCUUUUUCUUGAAACUUUAAAAAGAAAAGGAAAUAACAAAUUGUCAAAAGAAUUGACGAAUUUUUUUAUUUUUUUUUGCGUUUUCAAGUUUAAACUCCCUAUACAAAAUGAAACAUAUGAUUGCCAAAGAAAAAUCUUUUUGGGCUUUCGAUUUUGAAUUUCAUAUGAAAAUGAAACUUAAAACUAUUAAAGAAAAAAUAUAUUUGUAGUUUUCUUUUAAAGAUGUAUAUGAAAUACCUACUCUAAUAAAGAGUGAAGAAAAUCUUUUUUUUUGAAUUUUUCAAAUAAGAUCCCCGAACCAACAAUAGGCUGCCUACGUAUCUCACUCCCGAAAGAGGAGAAUCAAGGGUGUGUAGUUCUUCCAGAUUGGAUAAUUAAUGAUUAAAUAACAAGCUAGACUCUGACUUAAAAGAUACUACCAAAGACAGACGAUGAACCAAGUUAAUAAAAUCUUUUGAGUUUUCAUUUUGACACUUCACAGAAAAAUGACAUCAACAACUUUGAAAGAAAAAUCUAUUUGGUAUUUUCGUUAUAUGAAAUGUACAAAAUUUCUACCAUCUUAUUUUGCAUUUUUCUUUUAUAAAAACUCCUAUGAAUGAAAAAUCUUUUUUGAAUUUUUCGAAUUGUGAAUGCAUGCUAAACGAGACAAAGAAAAAUCUUUUUGAUAUUUUUAUUUUUGAGAAAUGAGUUCAAAAGGUAAAAAUAUUUUUGAAUUUUUAGAUUGUGACGAACAAAAGCCAUAAAAAAGCUCUAAAAAAACUAUGAACUCUUUUUGUUUUAUUCGCAUUUUCUAUUUUUUUCCUUUUUUUUCGAUUUUACAUGCCCACACACUUUACUUCUAACACAUGCUUUCCCCCACACCAGUCUGUUAAAUGACCACGUUACCCUCAAAGAUGCAACAUUUAGCACAUAGAAAUGCUUUAGAGGUGAGUCUUCUACAAAGGACCAAGUGGAUCCCGCUAGGUCUCAAUAUGAUGCAAAUAAGCAUGACCUAAAGGCUGACCUACACUGGGGUUCACUAACAAGACUGUUUGGGGGAGCGUAUGGUCGAUAGUGGCUGCUUUGGCUAUCCACUUACUCAAUACCAGCUGACAGCUUCCCAUCCUAAAAUAAGGGUGACUCAACUAUAGGUCGUGUACAUAGCGUGUACUACAGAACUUGUUACAGAAAGAAUGACUCGGGUUAUUUACAUGAUGUCAGAUAUAAAGCGGUAAAACAUAAAUAAAAACUGUAAACAAAGAGCACAUGGACACUCAACAAUGAUAAACAAUAACACAAAACAACACAAACAAAAUGUCUAUACACCUAUAAUGCCAAACUAAGCCGAUACAACUCUAAAAUAAGCUCGAAUUUAAAAAAAAUCCCCAACAGAGUUGCCAGAGCUGUCACACCCCUUUUUUACAAUCGAAAGAUAUGAUUUUAAGUGUGAAAAGAUUUUUAUUAUUAAAGUGAAAUAAAUGAAGAUUUAUUUUCGAAAAGGAUUAUUUACAUUCCAAACUCAGUGUCGCCACUUGGCAUAAAUCUUGUGUGCGAAGUCACCUUUGGAAAUCUUUUUAUGAAAAAUGAUUUUUGACUUUGACACUGAUCCGCGAACAGAGAUUCAAACUAAGGAAUUCUGUUGACUGAGGAAAAGGUGUUAGGGGUCCGUCGAUCCCGUAGUUCGACCCCGAUCGCUUGGGAGAAUGUAUUGGUUAAUUUGACACUACAGAUGUACGAAUCACACAAAAACACGUACAAAAAUCACACAAACAAACAAAAUAAAAUGAAUAAAAAUAUAGUCCGAGUUAUACAGUCCAAAAAUAAAAAAUACUAAAAUAUAAAUUCUAUUCUAGAUUAAUCUUAAACUAUGCUUCAAUGUUUUACGUGAUGCCGCGGGCCUUCAUCAGGACCAUCUUCCACCAACAUGAUAUGACGGGGCAUUCUCCGGUGAAUAAAUACAAUGAGCCUUGGGGCAUUCCCCGACUAAAUGAAUACAUUUGAAUUAAAUACGAUAAACUAGAAACAAACAUUCACACGCACAUUUAAACAUUCAAAACAUUCAAUAAACAAAUUACUCCUAAAUUUUUGCCUACCCGAGCCUAUAUUGCCUAUCCAUUUCAAUAGGUCAUAAAUCUAUCACAUUCAUACUUAUUCAGAAUUAAACAACAAUAAACCAAAGUUAAUCUACAUUUCACUUAUCAAUUUCUCCAUUCCGUCCCAACUUUCCUUUUAACACUAAAUUUUCACAAUUAACGAUUUCUAUUUCAACGAUCUACAACUACUCUUCAACAAAAUUAAGUAACAAGUCAAUAUCAAAGUAGCAAUUCAUUAUGAAUCAAGAUCAAACAACACCCGAUAUUCCAUUUAAUGUACCAUAUUCCAUCAACAAUGAAAUAAAAAGAGGAAAGAGAUAGAAAUAGACCCCAUAUUGCAUCAACAAUGAAAUAAAAAGAGGAAAAGGUAGAAAUGUACCUCAAUUGAAGCUUUUAUUAUGCCAAAUUAUAUGACCAAAAGUCGAGAUCGCAUCUGAAAACUUCAAUCGAACCCCAAUACAAACUAAUUUCCAACCUCGAUCGACUCCAUUGUUUUGCCAACAGAAACCAGAAUCAAAAUUGAGGAAGACUCAGACCCGUUUGCAUCAUUUUUCGGUCGGAAUCCACGUUGGAUUUAUCGCCGAAACUCUAGCAUAAUCGGGACGCCGGAAAUGGACCUCUCUUAGUCUCCCUCUGAUUUUUCUCUCUUUUCUAUGGUGCUUAUUUGUAUAUGGCUCUCUUAUCUUCUCCGAUCCUCUCUUCUCUCUCGUCGUCUCUCUCGAUUACUCCAAUCACACGCUCAGCUCUCCAUUUUCAGUAUGUGUAGUGUUCUUUCUGUGUAAUCAAUGGAUAAAAAUGGGGAGGGUGUGAGGUUGUGUUCAGGGUGAGUAUGAGCGUUAAUCUAUGUGUAUGGCAGUGAGGUGAGUGAUUUAUGUGUAAAUGGGCAAAGAAAAAUGGAGUGUCUAUGGUCUGUGUAUCAGUGAGGAUGACGGUGAGAAUUGUGUGUUCAAAAUAGUCAGGAUUUUUUUGUGUAUAUGGCGUGAUCUGUGUGUUUUGCCGUGGAUGGGAGUAUCUAUGAAGUGUGUCAUGGAUGAGAGAGGCCUCCCACUCUCUCAAGGGACUGUGUUUGUGUAUAUAAUUCUCUGUGAUGGUGCUGGUCCAGAGGAAAAAAAAUGGCGUGAGGUGUCUGCGUGCAUUCAAUUAAAAAAAAUAGAAUUCCGUGG
rnacentral:lncRNA from 1 species